rnacentral:lncRNA from 1 species
AAGCAUCGAUCAUGAUCCAUCAUGGGAUAUCUCAUAUCUCAUAUCCAUUUCUAUUUUCUAACACCAAACAAACCACACUCGCAAAUCGCAACGCAAGUGUCUCUUGCAUUGUCGUUCCAUUUGGGCGCCAAAAAGAAUUCUAGGUUUUCAUUUUUGGCCCUCUUUCAUCUCUCAAUUUCACCCACUCACUCAGGUCUCUAUCUAUAAAUAUAAAUUGUUAAUUUGCUUCUGUGUCUCUACAUUCAUCACUCACACAGAAGAAAAACAACAAUAGUCUGAGAGAAACUAGGGUUUCGAAAAAUGUCAGGGAAGGGGAAGAAGAGGGACGACCUAGACCGCGCUUCCGACGCCGACUCCGACAGCCACGCUCCGCCCAAAAAGUCCCUCAAGAAAGAUUCUGAUGA